CGUUGUUCGGAAUUACUGGGCGUAAAGGGCGCGUAGGCGGCCUUCUAAGUCGGACGUGAAAUCCCUCGGCUUAACCGAGGAACUGCGUCCGAUACUGAAAGGCUUGAAUCCGGGAGAGGGAUGUGGAAUUCCAGGUGUAGCGGUGAAAUGCGUAGAUAUCAGGAGGAACACCAAUUGCGAAGGCAGCUCGCUGGAACGUAACUGACGCUGAGACGCGAAAGCGUGGGGAGCAAACAGG
rnacentral:rRNA from 1 species